rnacentral:misc_RNA from 1 species
GCUUCAGUGGAUGAGCUAUAUGCUUCGAAUUAACCAGCAAGUUAGCUGCUCCAUGCUCCCCAACCCGUAAGUUAGCUGCUCCAUGCUCCUCUUUUACUUUUCUCACUGCAUGCUAAUUUGUUUAAUUCUAUCCUAUAUGCAUAUAUUCCUCCUCUCCUUACCACCAAAUCUAUGCAUUAAUAAUUUUAGUUAAUGCGUUUCAUUAUUUUAGCUUCUUUCUGCUUUAAUUUGGAUAAUUUCUUUAACAUCUCCACUUUUCUUCUUUUUUCUAAACCAAUUUUAAAAUAAAUUCAUUAGAAAAUUGAAAAAAGCCUUGUCAAGUUUUUUUUUUUUUUUUUUU